UGGCCUACGGGGGGCAGCAGUGAGGAAUAUUGGUCAAUGGCCGGAAGGCUGAACCAGCCAAGUCGCGUGAGGGAAUAAGGCCCUAUGGGUCGUAAACCUCUUUUGUCAGGGAGCAAAGGCGUCCACGAGUGGACGAAAGGAGAGUACCUGAAGAAAAAGCAUCGGCUAACUCCGUGCCAGCAGCCGCGGUAAUACGUAGGGAGCAAGCGUUAUCCGGAUUUACUGGGUGUAAAGGGCGUGUAGGCGGGCAUGCAAGCCAGAAGUGAAAUCUGGGGGCUUAACCCCCAAACUGCUUUUGGAA
rnacentral:rRNA from 1 species